AGGUCGUAACAAGGUCUCCGUAGGUGAACCUGCGGAGGGAUCAUUACCGAGUGAGGGCCCUCGCGGGCCCGACCUCCAACCCUUUGUCGAUGAAUAACACGUUGCCUCGGGGGGGCGACCCGGCCCUCGCGGCCGGGAGCCGCCCAGGGGACCCAUCAAUUCUGCGUCUUUGCGUCGGAGUUUUUAAUUGAAAAAAUCAAUCAAAA
rnacentral:misc_RNA from 1 species